UGUCAUCAUUUUCUCUGUGCUAAAACUGCAUUGGGCAGCUGAUGACAUCUUUGACUUAACAGGAAGACGUGUCUGUCAUAACGCAUUAAAUCAUUCACAUCCUCCUCACAGCUGCAUGAGCUUUGAUGAAAUCAGCAACAGUGCAACUUCAGAUAACCUCUUUUUGCUUGGUCCUGCUUUUGCUCUCUUAUUGCCAACGAUUCAGAGUCAACAUCAGCAGGUUCAUCUAUAGCUUUCCGUUUUCAUUUGUGCUUCACUUUCAAUCGAAUUCCAUCUGCACUCUUGGGGCCCCUCGGGGCCUCCUCAUCAAGUCUGAGCCCUAAUGGAGGUGCACCUGGCCUGCUUGCGGAAUUCCGCACACGGGGUGGAACAAUGCUUAGCGGUUCUUUGUUCCCAGUGGAGCAUCCGAGCAC